rnacentral:rRNA from 1 species
GUGAACAAGAGGAAACUGCGGACAGCUCAGUAACGGGCGACUUAUUUGAUCUUUACAAAUGGACAAACUCAGGAAACGGAGUGUAAUACAAAAGAGAUGAUUUCGUAUAAAAAAUCGUUUUAAGCUUUUAUAAGCGGUAAAGAAUAAGGCGCCAUCCCAUCAGUUAGUAAGUAAGGUAAGGGCUUAUUUAGGCGAAGACGGGUACGGGGAAUCAGGGUUUGAUACCGGAGAGGGAGCCUGAGAGACGGCUACCAGGUCCAAGGACGGCAGCAGGCGCGAAAAUUACCGAAGCCUAAAUAAGGGCGGUAGUAAUGAGACGUAAUAAUUUAAUAUAANAUUAAAAUUCUUAUUAAUAACUGGAGGUCAAGUCUGGUGCC